rnacentral:rRNA from 1 species
GAUGAACGCUGGCGGCGUGCCUAAUACAUGCAAGUCGAGCGAACAGACGAGGAGCUUGCUCCUCUGACGUUAGCGGCGGACGGGUGAGUAACACGUGGAUAACCUACCUAUCAGACUGGGAUCACUUCGGGAAACCGGCGCUAAUCCCGGAUAAUAUCUUGCACCGCAUGGUUCAAUAGUGAAAGACGGUUUUGCUGUCACUUAUCGCUGCAUCCGGGCCGCAUUAGCUAGUUGGUAAGGUAACGGCUUACCAAGGCUACGAUGCGUAGCCGACCUGAGAGAGGGAUAGGCCGCACGGGAAGGGGGACACGGUCCAGAGGCCUAAGAGAGGCAGCAGUAGGGAAUCGUCCGCAAUGGGCGAAAGCCUGACGGAGCAACGCCGCGUGAGUGAUGAAGGUCUUCGGAUCGGAAAACUCUGUUAUUAGGUAAGAACAAAUGUGUAAGUAACUAUGCACGUCUUGACGGUACCUAGUCAGAAAGCCACGGCUAACUACGUG